rnacentral:sRNA from 1 species
CAGAUGCUGAACGUGAAGGAUAACGUUGCGUCAGCAACGGCCCGAAGGGCGAGGCGAAGUCGAGUCAUCCUGCACGACCCACCA